rnacentral:rRNA from 1 species
GCAUAUCAAUAAGCGGAGGAAAAGAAACCAACAGGGAUUGCCUCAGUAACGGCGAGUGAAGCGGCAACAGCUCAAAUUUGAAAUCUGGCUCCGCCCGGGGUCCGAGUUGUAAUUUGUAGAGGAUGCUUCGGGUGCGGCACCGGUCUAAGUCCCUUGGAACAGGGCGUCAUAGAGGGUGAGGAUCCCGUAUGUGACCGGCGACCAAGCCCAUGUGAAGCUCCUUCGACGAGUCGAGUUGUUUGGGAAUGCAGCUCAAAAUGGGUGGUAAAUUUCAUCUAAAGCUAAAUACCGGCCAGAGACCGAUAGCGCACAAGUAGAGUGAUCGAAAGAUGAAAAGCACUUUGGAAAGAGAGUCAAAAAGUACGUGAAAUUGUUGAAAGGGAAGCGCUUGUAACCAGACCUGCCGUCGGGUGCUCCGCGGGCACUCUUGCCCGUCUACUCACCCGCGAUCAGGCCAGCAUCGGUUUCGGCGGCCGGAUAAAGACUCGAGGAAUGUAGCUUCGCUUCGGGGAAGUGUUAUAGCCUCCUGUGCAAUACGGCCAGCCGGGACCGAGGACCGCGCUUCGGCUAGGAUGCUGGCGUAAUGGUUGCAAGCGACCCGUCUUGAAACACGGACCAAGGAGUCCAACAUCUAUGCGAGUGUUUGGGUGUCAAACCCAUGCGCGGAAUGAAAGUGAACGGAGGUGGGAACCCUCAAGGGUGCACCAUCGACCGAUCCGGAAGUUUACGGAUGGAUUUGAGUAUGAGCAUAGCUGUUGGGACCCGAAAGAUGGUGAACUAUGCCUGAAUAGGGUGAAGCCAGAGGAAACUCUGGUGGAGGCUCGCAGCCGUUCUGACGUGCAAAUCGAUCGUCAAAUUUGGGUAUAGGGGCGAAAGACUAAUCGAACCAUCUAGUAGCUGGUUCCUGUCGAAGUUUCCCUCAGGAUAGCANNNNNNNNNNNNNNNNNNNNNNNNNNNNNNNNNNNNNNNNNNNNNNNNNNNNNNNNNNNNNNNNNAAUCUAUUCUCAAACUUUCAAUAUGUAAGAAGUCCUUGUUACUUAGUUGAACGUGGACAUUUGAAUGCACGGUUACUAGUGGGCCAUUUUUGGUAAGCAGAACUGGCGAUGCGGGAUGAACCGAACGUGGGGUUAAGGUGCCGGAAUGUACGCCCAUCAGACACCACAAAAGGUGUUGAUUCAUCUAGACAGCCGGACGGUGGCCAUGGAAGUCGGAAUCCGCUAAGGAGUGUGUAACAACUCACCGGCCGAAUGAAUCAGCCCUGAAAAUGGAUGGCGCUCAAGCGUGCUACCCAUACCCCGCCGCCAGGGUAGAAACGAUGCCCUGGCGAGUAGGCAGGCGUGGGGGUCAGUGACGAAGCCUUGGGAGUGAUCCCGGGUCGAACG